rnacentral:lncRNA from 1 species
UUUAACAACAUUAAAGAGAAAGAAGGUUUUAGAGAUUCAUUACCCUUGAAGCUCAUCCUUGUUUACAUAAGGGAUUCACCCAAGUGGAGGGCCUUCAAGUCACCUCCUAGCUCCUUGGAUCUUCCUUGUGAUUUCCUUCCUUUUGAUGCUCCUUUGCUCCUUGAGGAUGUGAGGAAAGGAUCUCCAAAACACAAAAGAUUUGGUGUCUCUAAGUCUCCACACCAAGGAUGAGGUGUGAAGAUAAAAUGGAUGACUUAGAGAAGAAAAGAUUGCUAGCUAAAUCCUCUCUAAGUGGCCGGCCUCCUUGUAGAGAAAAGAGAGAAAAUGUUUCACCUCUUUGCCUCAAGAAAACCCUAAUGAGAAAAAAGCUAUAAAGUUAACUUUAUACUACAUCACAUUUAAGUGGCAAACUUGUAAUUAAUUCAAGUUUGCAUCCACUCACCCUUAUGCCCAGCCUUGUCUUUGUUAUUGGGCUAAUUGCUCAUUUUGUUUUAGUUGUCAUACAACUUAAACAUAAUGGGCUUUGUGGGCCAAAACACUUUUGGGCCCCGAAACCCAAAACCAACUUAAAAGCCCAAUACGAAACUUUCGUAAAAUUAAUUAACUAAUUAAUUAAUCUUGACCAUUCUCAAUUAAACCAUUUAAUUUCUUAUCCCUCUCAUUUAUAUUUCUUCACUUUCAUCAUUACUCGGUGUACGAUCCAUUAGGUUCCAAUUAGCGAGGCAGUGGGCGAUUGUUACUCUUAACGAUCGAUUGUGAAUUGAAACAACAUUUCAAUUCUCCCUUUGUUGAAGAUUAGUGUUUGCUAAUCUUCAGGGCUUCUACAAACCAUGAGUGACACCUAGCAGCAUGUCAUGGCUACCCAAGCUAAAUAGAAUUGGUUGGAGAACCUAUCCAGUUACAAUUUCAAUGCAAUACGGUCAUUCUCUAAUACAAUACUCUUAAUCACAUUGUUUGAGUGAUAGUUUGUUUCAUGUCUACUAUCCAAUGUAAUACUUAUCUAUAUGAUUCAAUUGAAUAUGAUUUGGAACAUACUUCCUAAGUCAUAUUCAUAUGGUUUGGCCAAAGACUCCCGAAUCAUAUCUUAGAGUAUUCUCCUUCCACUAUGGAAGGUUAGAGAUCCCUUGUUGUGCAUUCAUAUGCCUACAUGACUAGAUAGCUUGACCCCAACAAUGUCGUGGACACUUUCGAUGGAAUGCCUUUGACAUGAUCAAAGAUCAAGGACCUAACCAUUAGACAUCUACGAUGCCUCAGGUCAAAUGACUACUUUGCAUAUUGUAACUUACGAGUUCUUACAUGACAUGUAUGUUCGAACUCUCUUUUGAUCGUUGUUCAGUGUACUCGAUUACUCUUUCAAGCACCUAUAUGUUUGUCUUAGUGUCCAACACUAAAUGACUUGAGACUAGUCAUACACACGCUUGAGUUGACAUAACACAUACUAACCUUAGCGGAUUGUCAAUGCCUAAUUGGCAAUCCUAUGGCUAGGAAUGUUUUAGGAAUGAACAUAAGAGAAAGGUCUCGUUAAUCUAACUUACUUAAAUCACUUCUCUCUUAGAUCAAAUACAUUCCUUGGAUUCCCUUAUUGCUUAAACACAUGAUACAAUAAAUAGUGAUUAACAAUAAGCUUUGCCUUCAUUAAACAUAUAAUAGUUUAAUACAUUAAGUAUUCCAAAAGCUAUUACAUCAAAUGAGUGGCUUUGUGGGCAUACUUCCAACAAUGGGUGUAGUAGGUGAAUGUUUGGUAAUGAGUAGAUGUAAUGGGUGUAGUGGAUGGAUGUUUGGUAAUGAGUGGAUGUAAUG